rnacentral:SRP_RNA from 1 species
UGUCAGGUCUCAUGCAAUGGGAAGCCGACGAAUUCCGCCAGGACCGGAAGGUAGCAACGGCAGUCAGGAUUCCUAUGUGCCGUGAGUCGCCUGGCACUU